rnacentral:rRNA from 1 species
AUGGCGGCCGGAGGAUUAAUGGAGCAGGACGUAAGCAAGCUUGACGUCGCAAAGCUCCACCCAUUGUCACCUCAAGUUAUCUCACGCCAAGCCACCAUCAACAUUGGUACAGUUGGUCAUGUGGCCCACGGGAAGUCUACCGUUGUGAAAGCUAUAACCGGAGUUCAGACUGUUCGCUUCAAGAAUGAGCUUGAACGUAACAUCACUAUCAAGCUGGGUUAUGCUAAUGCAAAAAUCUAUAAAUGCGAGGACGACAGAUGUCCACGACCAGUGUGCUACAAGGCUUAUGGAAGCGGAAAACAAGAUUCUCCAGCCUGUGAUGUUCCUGGGUUUGAAAACACUAGGGUGAAGCUUCUGAGACAUGUUUCCUUUGUUGAUUGUCCGGGUCACGACAUUCUCAUGGCCACAAUGCUUAAUGGAGCAACUAUCAUGGAUGGAGCCUUGCUUUUGAUAGCAGCAAAUGAGAGCUGCCCACAACCUCAGACAUCCGAGCAUCUGGCGGCUCUUGCGGGUCUCAAACACCUCAUAAUUCUACAGAAUAAGAUUGAUGUUAUCCAGGAGAGUGCAGCAAUGAACCAGCAUGAAGCAAUCCAAAAAUUCAUCUACGGCACGAAAGCUGAAGGUGCUCCUGUGGUGCCAAUAUCUGCCCAGCUCAAGUACAACAUUGAUGUCAUCUGUGAAUAUAUUGUGAAGAAAAUCCCUAUUCCUGAGAGGAGCUUCACAUCACCUCCCAACAUGAUUGUCGUUCGCUCCUUCGAUGUCAACAAGCCUGGUUCAGAGGUUGAUGAGAUCAGGGGUGGGGUGGCAGGUGGCACCAUCCUCAGGGGAGUCCUCAGGGUGAACCAGAAUAUCGAAGUUCGCCCUGGCAUGGUCAUGAAGGAUUCGAGUGGCAAAAUCAAAUGUUGCCCAAUCUACUCGAGGAUCGUCUCGCUCUACGCCGAGCAGAAUGAACUCCAAUUUGCUGUGCCAGGAGGGCUUAUUGGUGUGGGAACGGCCAUGGAUCCGACUUUGAGUCGUGCAGAUAGGCUGACUGGCCAGGUCCUGGGAGAAAUCGGGUCGCUCCCUGAUGUGUUCGCGGAGCUUGAGAUCAACUUCUUCCUUCUCCCAAGACUUCUGGGUGUGAGAACCAAGGGUGCAGAGAAGGCGGGGAAGGUCGCCAAGCUCAGCAAGCGUGAGAUCCUGAUGCUUAACAUAGGGUCUAUGUCGACUGGCGCCCGCGUGGUCGCUGUUAAGGGCGAUCUCGCCAAGCUUGAGCUCACCACCCCUGUCUGCACAAGCAUAGGCGAGAAGGUCGCCCUGAGCCGUCGUGUCGACAAGCAUUGGCGCCUCAUCGGAUGGGGCCAGAUCCAAGCUGGUGCAACGCUUGAAAUCCCUCCCUGCCCGCUGUAA